rnacentral:tRNA from 1 species
CAAGUUAUACCUUAAGAGGUUGUAUUAUUUACAAUAAUACAUUGUUUGUGCAAUUCAUUCUGGCUUGA